GCCAAUCAACGAUCGGCAUGAAAAGCACGCGGAUCGUCUCUGUUGUUAUAUACACUUUACAUUCACCGUUCUUUGUCAUACCGUCGUCAAUCUCAUUUUGCUAUCCUCUCCGAUCGAUUUUUCAGGUCUUUUGAAAACUAACUGAGGAGAGAUGUCGGGAAGAGGAAAGGGAGGAAAGGGAUUGGGAAAGGGAGGAGCGAAGAGGCACAGGAAGGUGCUGAGGGAUAACAUCCAAGGUAUCACCAAGCCUGCCAUCCGUCGUCUUGCUCGCAGAGGAGGUGUCAAGCGUAUUAGCGGACUCAUCUACGAGGAGACAAGAGGAGUCCUCAAGAUCUUUCUCGAGAAUGUCAUCCGCGACGCUGUUACCUACACCGAGCACGCUAGGAGGAAGACUGUUACGGCUAUGGAUGUGGUUUACGCGUUGAAGAGGCAAGGACGUACUCUCUACGGUUUCGGCGGUUAAUCAAAGAUUGUGAUUUUUAGGAGAUGGGAUUAGUGUUACGGGUUAUCUGGGAGUGUAUUGUUUCUGUUAUCCAAUUUGAUUAGUGAAAACUUUUCUCUAAAAAGUAAAACAAUGUCUUGUAGGCAAUGUGAUCUUCAUGUAGCUAAAUCUCAGCAAUCUUUGCUGGGAUUCUUAAAUGAAAGUUGUGUUUGAACCAUA